ACAAAAUUCUCACCUGUACUUCAAUAGCCAAUUAAAAGCUCCCACCUGCCGUAGUUAAAGUUGCCUGGUGUUUAAAAGGCGUGGGGGUGGGGUUGUAUUAGGUUAGGUUGGGUCGGGUUGGGAGCUUAGAUUAGGUUAGUGUAGGGUAGGUUUGGUUAGGUUGGGUUUGCUAAGGUUAGGUUGGGAGGUUAAGUUAGGGUAGGUUACGUUAGGCUAGGUUGGGUUGGGAGCUUCGGUUAGUGUAGGGUAGGUUUGGUUAGGUUGGGCAAUUAGGUUAUAGGUUGGGAGCUUAGAUUAGGAGGUUAGGUUGGGAGCUUAGGUUAUAGGUUGGAAGGUUAGAUUAGGUUAGGUUAGAUUGGGAGGUUACGUUAGGCUAAGUUAGGUUAGGUUGGGAGGUUACAUUUGAUUAAGCUAGGUUGGGAGCUUAGAUUAUAGGUUGGGAGGUCAAAUUAGGUUAGGAUGGGAGGUUACGUUAGAUUAAGCUAGGUUGGGAGCUUAGAUUAUAGGUUGGGAGGUCAGAUUAGGUUAGAAUGGGAGGUUAAGUUAGGUUAGGAUGGGAGGUUACGUUAGAUUAAGUUAGGUUGGGAGCUUAGAUUAUAGGUUGGGAGGUCAGAUUAGGUUAGAAUGGGAGGUUAAGUUAGGUUAGGUUGGGAGCUUAGGUUAGGUUAGGUUAGAUUGAGAGGCUACGUUAGGUUAGGUUAGGUUAGAUUGAGAGGUUACGUUAAGUUAGGUUAGGUUAGGUUACGUUGGAAGUGGAGUUGUAUAGUUAGUUGAUGGAAUAAUAUAGAAUAGAGUGAAAAACGUUUAGUAAUGCCUGCCCGUGAGAAGUCAUUACCUUUUCCAUAGUUCAAGUUACCUGGUGUUGAUAAAUUUAAAAGUGUAGGAGUGUGAAGUUGUAGGAAGUUGCUGGAACAGUGGGAUAUAAAGUGAACUAUAUGAAUGAAUAGAUUAGAUUAGAAUAUGAAGGGAAUAGAAUUGAAUAUGAAGUGAAAUAUGUAGAAGAAUGAAUUAGAAUAAGGUGGAAUGAGUGAAGUAUUUUGGUUUUGCUAUUUAUAUUUCUUGUGUGCGAUAUUUGAAUGCAAUUGUCAUGGCGUCUUUUUUUUUUUUUGUGUGUGUGUGUGUGUGUGUGGGUG